GUGCUCGCUUUGGCAGCACAUAUACUAAAAUGGGAAAUCUACAGAGAUGAUUAGUGUGCUCCUGCACAAGGAUGGCAUGCAAAUUCGUGAAGCGUUCCAUCUCUCU
rnacentral:snRNA from 1 species